rnacentral:rRNA from 1 species
GACGAACGCUGGCGGCGUGCUUAACACAUGCAAGUCGAACGGAAAGGCCCUGCUUUUGUGGGGUGCUCGAGUGGCGAACGGGUGAGUAACACGUGAGUAACCUGCCCUUGACUUUGGGAUAACUUCAGGAAACUGGGGCUAAUACCGGAUAGGAGCUCCUGCUGCAUGGUGGGGGUUGGAAAGUUUCGGCGGUUGGGGAUGGACUCGCGGCUUAUCAGCUUGUUGGUGGGGUAGUGGCUUACCAAGGCUUUGGCGGGUAGCCGGCCUGAGAGGGUGACCGGCCACAUUGGGACUGAGAUACGGCCCAGACUCCUACGGGAGGCAGCAGGGGGGAAUAUUGCACAAUGGGCGGAAGCCUGAUGCAGCAACGCCGCGUGCGGGAUGACGGCCUUCGGGUUGUAAACCGCUUUCGCCUGUGACGAAGCGUGAGUGACGGUAAUGGGUAAAGAAGCACCGGCUAACUACGUG